rnacentral:rRNA from 1 species
UACGAAGGGGGCUAGCGUUGCUCGGAAUCACUGGGCGUAAAGGGUGCGCAGGCGGUGAUGUAAGACAGAUGUGAAAUCCCCGGGCUCAACCUGGGAACUGCAUUUGUGACUGCAUCGCUGGAGUGCGGCAGAGGGGGAUGGAAUUCCGCGUGUAGCAGUGAAAUGCGUAGAUAUGCGGAGGAACACCGAUGGCGAAGGCAAUCCCCUGGGCCUGCACUGACGCUCAUGCACGAAAGCGUGGGGAGCAAACAGG